rnacentral:rRNA from 1 species
GUGGGGAAUCUUCCACAAUGGACGAAAGUCUGAUGGAGCAACGCCGCGUGAGUGAAGAAGGGUUUCGGCUCGUAAAGCUCUGUUGUCGGGGACGAAUGUGCAGUAUUUGAAUAAAGUACUGCAAUGACGGUACCUGACGAGGAAGCCACGGCUAACUACGUGCCAGCAGCCGCGGUAAUACGUAGGUGGCAAGCGUUGUCCGGAAUUAUUGGGCGUAAAGGGAGCGCAGGCGGGAAGGUAAGUCGGUCUUAAAAGUGCGGGGCUCAACCCCGUGAUGGGAUCGAAACUAUCUUUCUUGAGUGCAGGAGAGGAAAGUGGAAUUCCUAGUGUAGCGGUGAAAUGCGUAGAUAUUAGGAGGAACACCAGUGGCGAAGGCGACUUUCUGGACUGUAACUGACGCUGAGGCUCGAAAGCCAGGGGAGCGAACGGGAUUAGAUACCCUGGUAGUCC